rnacentral:rRNA from 1 species
GACGAACGCUGGCGGCGUGCCUAAUACAUGCAAGUAGAGCGCUGAAGAGAGGAGCUUGCUCUUCUUGGAUGAGUUGCGAACGGGUGAGUAACGCGUAGGUAACCUGCCUUGUAGCGGGGGAUAACUAUUGGAAACGAUAGCUAAUACCGCAUAACAAUGGAUGACACAUGUCAUUUAUUUGAAAGGGGCAAUUGCUCCACUACAAGAUGGACCUGCGUUGUAUUAGCUAGUAGGUGAGGUAAUGGCUCACCUAGGCGACGAUACAUAGCCGACCUGAGAGGGUAAUCGGCCACACUGGGACUGAGACACGGCCCAGACUCCUACGGGAGGCAGCAGUAGGGAAUCUUCGGCAAUGGGAGCAACCCUGACCGAGCAACGCCGCGUGAGUGAAGAAGGUUUUCGGAUCGUAAAGCUCUGUUGUAAGUCAAGAACGGGUGUGAGAGUGGAAAGUUCACAAUGUGACGGUAGCUUACCAGAAAGGGACGGCUAACUACGUG